UACCAGGUCAAGACAUGGGCGUGAUUGACAGGCUAAUGACUUUUCUCGAUUCCAUGGAUGGUGGUGCAUGGUCGCACUUAGUUGGUGCAGUGAUUUGUCAGGUUUAUUCCGGUAACGAACGAGACCUCGGCCUUGUAAAUAGCUAUGCUGCUUACAGGGACAUUGGCGGCUACGCCAAGGAAGCUCGAGGCAAUUGCAGAUCUGGAAUGCCCUUAGAUGUCCUGGGUCGCACGCGUGCUACAAUGACGCCACGAACGAGCUUGCGUGAUGAAAGUUACGCAUAAUCAGCAGUCGGCGUCUUAAGGGAUAGUCUCUUGUAACUGUGGGACUCCAACUAGGAAUGUCUCGUAAGCACAAGUCAACAUCUUGUGUUGAUUACGUCCCUGCUCUUUGUACACACCGCCCGUCGCUCCUACCGAUCGAGUGUUUAGGUGAAAUUUGAUGGACGUAAAGGAAAGUCAAAUAAACCUGAGCACUAGAGGAAGGAGAAGUCGACAUUC
rnacentral:rRNA from 1 species